AACCUCCGCAAUGCACGAAAGUGCGACGGGGGGACCCCAAGUGCCACUCUUAACGGGGUGGCUUUUCUUGAGUGUAAAAAGCUUUUGGAAUAAGGGCUGGGCAAGACCGGUGC
rnacentral:rRNA from 1 species